rnacentral:ncRNA from 1 species
UUCGUCAACUAAUGGGCUGCUAAUCUUUUUUACUUAAUUGCAGAACUAAAACUGCAUAAGUGGCGAAGUAUUUCAUAGAAACGCUUGGCGCCGCAGGUGUGACUGAACAUGUAUGUAAUGGUCUGGGGCUUCUGCAAUGGACUGGGGCUUAAGUGAACAGUCUGCAAAAUACAUAGGGUGAACAAAUUUAGGCAAAAGCUGAUGGGACGGCGCUCCUGUCAGCUUUUU